rnacentral:misc_RNA from 1 species
UUCACGAUUGUAUAGGACUCGGACGACACUUAACGUCAGCGUUUGGGGGGCCUCUGGCGGGCGCGCACACCGGGCGACCGGUGGGCCCAGGCGGCGCGCCUGGGCGGCCCGCCGAGGCAACAGCUGUAGCGAUCACAGUGGGUGGGAGAUCCGCCCGCGAGGGGCGAGAAGCUCGGUAAUGAUCCCUCCGCAGGUUCACCUACGGAGA